GGCCUAUUGGGAGCUUUGAUUUGUUCUAAACUUCAGCUGUUUUAAACGUUAAGUCGCAGGAGACUGAGGCUAAUUUCCAAGGGGAGAUGCCACUCCACAAAAUCUCCCUCUCUGCCCUGCCACAGUUGGUACUGAUUUGACUGUCUCUGUGGAGAAGCCAAGGAUCAAAUGCUCCAUGGCGCCAGACUGUUUUCUUUUGCAGCCUGCAGGAACUGCUGAAGCCCCCUCUCAGAGAGGCACGCUCCUCCAGGCGCAGGGGGAUGCAGCACCCCUCCCGACAGCCUGAUGGAUCGUGGCCCCAGUUCUGUCAGCAGAUCCCACCAAACCAGCAAAAUACCGGCAGAGAGGCAGCCCCCAGCCUUGCUGAACAAGUUGGAGAGAUGAUUAACUCGUCUGAAAUGAUGCGGGAAGGCCUCGUCCCAGUUGUGUGUUCUUCCUUCAGCACAUCGAGAGCUGCCGCGACUCUGUGGUAUUCACAAGCAGGGCUUGCAACCAGGGCUGG